UAAGUGUAAGCAAUUAUACAGCGAAACUGCGAAUGGCUCAUUAUAUAAGUUAUCGUUUAUUUGAUAGUACCUUACUACUUGGAUAACCGUGGUAAUUCUAGAGCUAAUACAUGCUGAAAAUCCCGACUUCGGAAGGGAUGUAUUUAUUAGAUUAAAAACCAAUGCCCUCUGGGCUCCUUGGUGAUUCAUAAUAACUUUUCGAAUCGCACGGCCUUGCGCCGGCGAUGGUUCAUUCAAAUUUCUUCCCUAUCAACUUUCGAUGUUUGGGUAUUGGCCAAACAUGGUCGCAACGGGUAACGGAGGGUUAGGGCUCGACCCCGG
rnacentral:rRNA from 1 species